rnacentral:rRNA from 1 species
UACGUAGGAGGCUAGCGUUAUCCGGAUUUAUUGGGCGUAAAGCGGGCGCAGGUGGCCUUUCAAGUCUGGUGUGAAAUCUCCUGGCUUAACUGGGAGGGUGCACCGGAUACUGUUGGGCUGGAGUGCAGCAGAGGGAAGCGGAAUUCCCGGUGUAGUGGUGAAAUGCGUAGAUAUCGGGAGGAACACUAGUGGCGAAGGCGGCUUCCUGGGAUGUAACUGACACUGAGGCCCGAAGGCGUGGGGAG